CACACCAUUCACUUAAUGCACAUUUAAAGCAUAUGGCUUCUCCCAAAGAAUCCUGGGAAGUGUAGUUUGUUAAGAGUGCUGAGAAUUGUAGCUCUGUGAGGGGUAAACUACAAUCCCCAGGAGUUUCCGGGGGGAAAGUCAUGUGUGUUAAUUGUGCUUUAAAUGUAUGGUGUG